CCAAAACAAUCGCACGCACGUACGAGCGAGGCCGCCCACCCUCGAGCGAGAACCACUCGCACGCACGACUCACUCAGCAAAUCAUGCGCCGCCGCCCUCCAUCCUUCGCCACCGCCGCUCCAUCCCUUCGCCGCCGCCGCUCCAUCCCUUCGCCGCCGACCUCGCACAUCAAAGCCGCCGCCGCUCCAUCCCUUUGCCGCUGCCCACGAUCCACUUCAGGAGACGCCGUCGAUCCCGUUGAGGACCUGCUGCCCAUCAUGUCGAGGAUCCGAAGAUGAUCCCCUUCAGGAGCCUUGCCGAUCCUUCUCCACACGCCACCGCCUCCCUUGCGAAGACGCCUUGCCAUGGAUAUCAAUCGGCGCCACGACGACCGUGGCCUCCCCACCCGCCGACGUUCCAGAUCCGGCCAUCGUUGACCCCCUCCACAUCAGUGAUUGGUCAAGGUAGGGGUGUGUGGCUCUAUCCAUCUUCCCGCGUGUACGGUGUCCAUGUAUCCCGGGCAAGGGUGCUUGUGAGAUCGGGAGGCGAUCAAAAGGAGGAAGAGGAGAUCCAUGGUUGGGGAUACAUUCAACGACCUAGGCAUCAUCCUCCCUGACGUCGUACUCGAAGCCCGCAGCCAUUGCCUUCUCAAUCUAUGUUAGUCAGCAGCAGCAAGGUCAGGCCCCACUAUAUUUUCUUCAGAUCUUGCAUCGCCAUGGUGACUCCACAAAAUUUGUACAUCCAUUGCCGACGUUGGUAUUUAUUCAGCAGAGAAUUAACAACAGUAGACCAAAGCAAAGGGGGGUCAGCCUGAAUGGGACGUAUCCCCUUCCAGAGGACUCGCCCUAGCUAACCUGCACGGUACCUUUCAAUAGCACUUCUCCCAGUAAGUUUGCAAAUUUUGGAUCCACCACUUUUGAAUCAUGCUUGGUGUGUGCUGACGGUGCACGAGGAACGUGACGGUUUUUCUCUGAAUCAUGCCAUAGUUCUCUCAAUAUUGUACGUGUUGUUCUCUCAGCAUUGUACGUCUUGUUCUCUGCAUGAUGUGUGGUCGAUGGGCAGAGGCGACGACUGGCGGCUGUUCUAUUUACACCUGACAUGGUUGAGAGGCUAGGGAGCAGGCGAUUUUGCACUCGUAUUUGGUUGGCAAUGGAGAUGAAUUUGUGAGAGAUGUGGCUGGAAGUUGCACCGGUCAUUUUUCUGCCCUCUCUAUGUUAUCCCUUUGCACUAAUCGGUAAUUGCUUUUUGACCAGGGGAUAGGGUAGCGUACACGAACAGCAAAAUUGUAGAAGACGAGGAGGACAAUCUGAGUGACCAACAUUAUGUGGAGUAUUGAGAUGCAGAUCCGUCUUCACUGACAGCACGCGCUUGUCUGUGACCUCCCACCAGCAACGCCUUGAGGUCACCCACACAAGCGACCAAGCAAUUCCACGCUGUCACCCUCUGCUACUUCGCCAACGACAUCGAGGAGGUCGUGGGUGAGAGCUACUGUCCUCCCUGGAGAACAUGCUCGUGCCCCAUGCGUACGAAGAAGAGCUAAGACACUCGCAUGGGUGCUCAAGGAAAUACACCAGAUUGAGCAAGAGUAAAAAAAGACUCCAAUCUGAAUCUGAUGAGUAAAAAAAUAUCGUUGUGUUUCAGAGUGUUACGCAAUUUAUCAACAAGAGCAAAGACUCCAAUCUGAUGAUGUAGGACAGCUUUAAUGUGACAGAGGAUCAUGGUGGUCGAUGGAUUGUGCACCCGGUAGUAGACUAGGAAAGGAACAUUAUUUACGGAACACAAUGAUAUUCAGAGCAGCCCUGCACUAUGUGAGAUUUAGAAGUUGGUACUGCCGGCGGAUGCAUCCAUGUGCUAAUCUCCUGGCACCGCGUAGACGGAGCCAAACGAGUUGGGGCCUCCGGCCGGCUGGUAGUGGACAACAACACCGGGUUUGUUAAUUAAUCAACAAGUCACAGAUUGUCCUCUUUUUUGAUUGGUCUGGUCUGGAUUAUCAGGCCUGCCGCGCAAUCAUAGAUUUAUCUUUUGAUUUAUGUGGGUGGACAGAAACACCCUUUCUAAAGUUUUCUAGGGAUUGUAAUGAAGCACGGUAACACACUCCAGCAUUCAUUCUUUGCUU